AUGAGGAAGAACGCAUCGUUUGUCCUGUUGAUUUUGGCCUGCCUGUGGCUGUGCCCUCGGCGGGGCAGCGGGUUCUCAUGGAACAUUUUCUCGUCUCCGUCCUCCUCGGCGGCCGGUAACAGUCCCCCGAUGAUGGAGCUCGACGGCGCGGUGGCCGACUUCUCCAUGGACGUCACCAACAACCCGCGAGGGGUGAAGCUGCUGGAGAACGCGCGGAACAAGCUCGCGGGGCCCAAGAACUGCUGGCAGGACGCGUACCGGAACCUCUUCGCCGGCUGCGGCGAGAUCAUGGCCGACAAGGAGCGGCAGGCGCGCCUCGCGUGGCACCUCAGCAGCUGCUACCAGGAGGACUCGGGCCGGCCGGCCUUCCCGUCCUGCGCCGGCGGGUCCAGGAUGGUGCACUGCCGCAAGAAGCUGGGCGACUCGGAGAGCAAGUUGUUCCUCGAGUUCUUCCUGGAGACCAACACGCUGUGCCACCAGCUGCAGGCGGAGGCCUUCAAGCACAGCACGGAGCGGCUGGUGAACGACCUCACGCGCUCCUCCAAGUCGGCGGAGGAGAAGCUGGAGGUGAUCGAGGCGCGGUCGGAGGAGAUCAUCAGGGAGUCCGGCAAGGUGCGGGACGCGCUGUCGUCCAUCGAGGCGCAGGCGGACCGCCUCGCGGAGACGUCCAAGGGCGUGGGCGCGCAGAUCGACGACGUGCUGGCGCACUCCAGGACCAUCUCCGACCAGUCCAAGGAGAUCGCCGCCUCCCAGGCGGAGCUCAAGGAAGGGCAGGCCGAGAUGAGGAAGAAGAUCGAGGCCGGCAUGGAGCGCAUCCAGGAGUCGUACGAUCAGCUGGGGGACGGGAUGGGGAAGCUCACGGAGGAGGCCGUGGGCAUUCAGAAGGAGAUCGCAACUGUCGGCGACCUGAUGUCUUCCAAGAUGCUGGUUCUCCAGGGCACUGCCGAUGAGAUUGGGAGUGUGGCGGGCAAAUCGUUGGAGAAUCAGAUGCAGCUCUUGGAUGGGCAGAACAAGGCCAUGGAUGGAUUGACUAGCCUCCACACCUUUCAGUCCCAGGCUCUCGAGGAAAGCAGGGAAACUUUGGAGAAAUUUGCACUGUUUGGGCAGCGUCAGCAGGAAGAGCUGUUGUUGAAGCAGGAGCAGAUCCGGCAGGCUCAUGAUCAUCUCAUCCUGAAUUCACACUCCAUACUAGCAGCUCAGGAGGAGUUCAGAGCGAAGCAGGCCAACAUCUUCGCGGCGCUGGACAAGCUCUACAUCCUCCACAACGCCAUUCUAGCCGAGUCCCGCUUCAUCAAGGCCUUCUUCUUCUACUGCUGCAUCGUCUUCCUCAUCUACAUGCUCACCAGCGCCAAGCAGACCUUCAGCAUCAGAGGCCAACUUUACUUCGGUCUGUGCGUCACGCUCCUGCUAGAGAUGGGUCUGAUCAAGAUCGCAGCCGGCAACUUGGACAACCAGUUCUGGGUCCUGUCCAAGGUGUUCUUGGUCAGAUUGCUGUUCCUGGCCGCCGCCACUAUCCAGAUCUUGCAUUCCAUAUUCACGUUCAGGGACUACGAAGUUCUGAACCACCGGCUGCUCCAGACGCUGGUGGACAAGGUCCGGACACUGGAGGAGAACGCAGGCGACAGGAUGCUCUGGUACGGCUCGGAGAGCGACGAGAGCCUGAGGAACUACUCGUGGGUCUUCGACGAGCUGACGGAUGAGGCGGACAGCACAGCCGACCCUAACUACGCCCUGCCGGAGCAAACCCGCCGGAGGUACGGCGCCCUGCCGGAAGAGGUCGCCGAGAACUCCAUCACCACGUCGGGUAGCCGGAGGUACAACCUGCGGCGCCGGAGCAAGCAGUGA
rnacentral:rRNA from 1 species